UGCAAUAAUCACUGAUUUGCUUACCUCCUUUUCCAUGACAUGACUCUAAGCCUCAUGCUGGCAGAAACCAUGUCUUACUGGACACUGUCUCCUCAAAACUUCCGGGAAAUUCCAAGAGUACAGUGAGUCAGUGAAGAAGUACACAGAUUUUAUUUGGAACUAUGAAUAAAACAUAGAAUUUCCUUCUUCGUUUCCCAGAUGUGGCUAACAAGUGGUUUCAAGAGUCACCUGAUUAGAAGUGCUCCUCAAACUUUUCCACCAACUAAACAGAGCAAAUGAGAGGACAAAUGUCUCCAGUGUCCCAGGGAGCUUGAGGCUUCAACUGGACACAAGUAUAAACAGCUUUUAAGUCACACUCACUCAGAAUCCCAGUCUAUGGGCAAAAUAUCAUUCUACAAAACCCCCGACGAGUGCUCUUUAAAACUGUCAAGAUCAUCAAAACCAGAGUCUAAAAGCCUGUCACAGCCAAGAGACUCCUAAGGAGACAUGACUACUAAAUGUAAUGUGAUAUCCUGGAUGGGCUCCUAGAACAAAAACAAGGAAAUCAGAAUGAUGAUGAAAAUAGUCUCUGCGUCACAGAAUUGGAAGAAGUAUUAUAAAAGAUACUUCAUUACAGAACUUAAAAUGUCACUUGGGACAUGGUAAGUACUUAAAAAAUGUUAGCUAUUAUUGGC